UACGGAGGGGGCGAGCGUUAUUCGGAAUUAUUGGGCGUAAAGGGCGCGUAGGCGGCUGGGCAAGUCAAAGGUGAAAUCCCUCGGCUCAACUGAGGAACUGCCUUUGAAACUGCCUGGCUUGAGGCCGGGGAGGGGGUAGCGGAAUUCCCAGUGUAGCGGUGAAAUGCGUAGAUAUUGGGAGGAACACCAGUGGCGAAGGCGGCUACCUGGACCGGUUCUGACGCUGAUGCGCGAAAGCGUGGGUAGCAAACAGG
rnacentral:rRNA from 1 species